rnacentral:rRNA from 1 species
AUUGAACGCUGGCGGCAGGCCUAACACAUGCAAGUCGAGCGGGGUUUUCGGACCUAGCGGCGGACGGGUGAGUAAUGCGUAGGAAGCUACCCGAUAGAGGGGGAUACCAGUUGGAAACGACUGUUAAUACCGCAUAAUGUCUACGGACCAAAGUGUGGGACCUUCGGGCCACAUGCUAUCGGAUGCGCCUACGUGGGAUUAGCUAGUUGGUGAGGUAAUGGCUCACCAAGGCGACGAUCCCUAGCUGGUUUGAGAGGAUGAUCAGCCACACUGGAACUGAGACACGGUCCAGACUCCUACGGGAGGCAGCAGUGGGGAAUAUUGGACGAUGGGCGCAAGCCUGAUUCAGCCAUGCCGGGUGUGUGAAGAAGGCCUUCGGGUUGUAAAGCACUUUCAGUAGGGAGGAAGCGUUGUGUGUUAAUAGUACACAGCGUUGACGUUACCUACAGAAGAAGCACCGGCUAACUCUGUGCCAGCCGCCGCCGUAACAC